CCUUAAAGAACCUGCCUUUGUAGUGCUCACACAGAUUGUCUGAUGAACGUAAAGAAGCAAGGCGUCUUGCGAUUGAGACUUCAGUGUCCCCUUCGUCUAGAGGCCCAGGACACCGCCCUUUCACGGCGGUAACAGGGGUUCGAAUCCCCUAGGGGACGCCACUUGCUGGUUCGUGAGUGUAAGACGCGUGCCGAACUAUCUCAAAACUCAUCUUCGGGUGACGUUUGAGAUAGUUGCUCUUUAAAAAUCUGGAUCAAGCUGAAAAUUGAAACGACACACAGACAAUGUGUGUUCGAGUCUCUCAAAUUUUCGCGACACGAUGAUGUUUUACGAAACAUCUUCGGGUUGUGA
rnacentral:misc_RNA from 1 species